rnacentral:lncRNA from 1 species
CUCAGUUUUAGUAUUCAGAGGCUGACCUGAACUUUGCGUGCUCUGCGUUAGAUUGCUCAACCUGUCUGCUCCACAGAAACUCACCUCGCUAACCACUGCUUGCUGCUUUCUCUUUUUGUGUUAGCCUACACCCAAAGCCACUGUCAGAUGUCAUGGAGAUGAGACUUCAGAAGCUGGAUUCUAGAGUAUAAAUGGAGAACAAUGAGAGAUGAAGACAGAGUGACAGGGUAAAUUAUGAUGGACCCUCAUGUGAUGACAAUGAAGCUGGAUUUUAUUUGUAAGACAUUAGGGAACAACUGGAGGAUGAAGAGAUGCAUCCAGAGCAAAGACAAGGUGCCUGCCUAUGAGGCCUGUCCUGCACUGAAAGCUGCAGUUUGGGGUGCAUACGUGCUUCUGGCUUUCACUUCCUGAGGAUCAUUCGUUUUGAGAGCCGUUCCUGCUGAAUCUAGAUAUGUGUGAGGAAGCUGGAGACCGGGCCCCAUAACCUGUGCUGCACUCCCUCUGGCAAGGUUUGGUCAAGAACUAUAACUGAGCCACAAAGACAGAUUAUAUGUCCUAAUUUGAGGCACUUUUGAAUUUUGUUUUGGUGAAACUUUCCACCACUGCCUCUUGCUUGAAUAAAAGGAACUUGACAAAGACAGCAAACUCCAAGUAGAUGCUGGCCUCUGUUGAGGAACUAGUACAACUGAGCACAAGAAGCAGCCAAAAGAGGCCCUAUGUGAUUUUCUUGGCUAGUUAGAAAUUUUUCAAAAUCAUAUCUUGUUCUUAGGAAGCGAUCUCUAGGCUUACUCUAAUGAGAAGGCUUGGAAAAUUGCCUUCACCUGAUAGCCCCAUUUUAUCAGUCACUCUGGAACCCAGUACCGGGGAAAAUUAACAAAAAUCAAGGUCUUCUGUGAAAACACGUGAGACUCUUUUACUCAUCCCAAACAUAUAAUUUAAAGGAGUGUAAAAAAAGAAUGGAACAUUAACACAAUACAUAUUGCAGAAUCCACUUCUAUAGAGUGUCAUAAAUUGUCAGACCUGGAAAGUUCUUAGAGCUAACGGUCAUUUAGUACAGUCCAUUCACCGUCUUUUCUUCUGUGAUAAGUAAACUGAGGACUGGGCUGAUUCUGUGACAUACUUGCCAAGGCUUAUUUAUGUGACAAGAUGCAGAAGUAAGUGGCUACGUGGCAAACUGAGACUUAAAGUCCUAUUUCUCUGCCUAAUGAUCUAAUCCUCUUCUUCGUCCUUGAGGAAGAUUGUCCCCGAGCUAGCAUCUGUGCCAAUCUUCCUCUAUUCUAUACGUGAGAUGCCGCCACAGCAAGGCCUGAUAAGCAGUCUGUUGGUCCACCCCUGGGAUCCGAACCUGUGAACCCCAGGCCAGUAAAGCACAGCGUGUGAACCCAAACACUAUGCCACGGGCCUGGUCCCCGACCAAUUGUUUUUCUAAAGGGUAUUUCCCUAUAAAAAGGCAUGCCCUUAACCAACCAAUAUUGCACACACAUGACACAUGACACCUCAUGAAUUCCCAAAUUAACAUGUAAGAUGUUUAUGCAACAUCACAUUUUAACAAUCUUUUCAACUUUUGAUAAAGUUUUCUUUCUUACUAAGUGAACAAUUUUUCUUUUGACUGCAGUAUAGAUGAAAACUGUUCAUCAAGUGAUUUUAUUUCCAUAGAAGAUAUUCAUAUCAUUCUAAGGCACCAAGUCACUGCUGAAUUGAACAUGCCAAUCUUAGCAACCAAUCAGUGCUCUCACUGGCUUCUUUACUUUUAUUUCCAGUUUUUGGGUUAAAUAUUUGGGAAAGAGAGUUGGAAAUGGAUAAUUUCUUUUUUUUUUUUUUACAAGAGAGACGUGUUGAGAUAAAAAUGCUGACAGUUAUGUAGGCUUACUCCCUAGCCAAUUUUCUCUUUUGUCUGCAUAUCAUCAACUUUUGUGAGAGGCUGAAAAUACAAAUGUUAAAUUUAUUAUGCCAGGAGUCUACUGUAUCUCUAAGUUAAUUAACCUUGUAUAAGAUCUUCUGACAGAAUCCUUUUAAUUUCAGGCAGUGCUCCACAAUACACCAUCUCCCCUAUCUAUCUAUUUAUCUAUCUGUCUGUCUGUCUAUCUAUCCAUCUAUCCAUUCAUCCAGGCAUCAAGACUUUCCUGACUCACCAGUCCUCUCUACCGAGUGAUGGACUCUAAGAUCAGUAGACAAUACUGGAGAUAAGUGUACCAGGCAUCUACAUAGAAACAGAGUUAGACAAUCAACGUGCCGAAAGAGAGAGGCCUCUUGGGUGUUUAAGAGCAGAUAUAUCGUAUCCCUGGGCCUUUUGGUUCAUAAUUCCACAUCCAGUCUUGAAUCCAGAAUCACUAAAAGGUUGGCUUAGUUAUCACUGUGUUUCUCACUGUUUUUGAGUGGCAUUCACAUCACAUGCUCUCUUUCUACAGUCUUGUUUUUAGUUAUUUCUCCCAUUCUCAUAGCUUCCAUGAGCAUUUACAUGUAGCUACUCCUCAGCUCAAAUACAUAAAAAUUUUUAUGAGGCAGUCACUGUGCAUUAAAUAUUUCCUCAGUUAGGCUUCUCCAGGAAAGUAGGAUCUGAUAUUACCUUCAUAUUGUGGAUGAGGAAUCUGAGCUCUAGCUGAUUCCAAAGCCCAUGCUUUUAAUUGCUAUGGUCUGUUGACUUUCAGGAAUAGCUCUAUAUCUAGAUGUAUUUCUCCAGUAGGAUGCUCAGCAGGCAACACAAACUCAGCAUGCCCCAAAGCAAGUGAUAAUCUUCCUUGGGAAAAUCAGCAACAACUUCAGACUUCACUCACUUCUAUUUCUGUUAGUGGAACUGCCUUUUACCCUGGUCUGGAAUAUCAGUGUCAUUUUCGAUUGCUUGUCUCUUUCUCCAUCUCUUCUUCCAAUUAAAUAUCUUGCCUGAUUCGAUCUCUGCAGUACCUCUGACAUGUGUCUUUUUCUUUCCAUUGCCACUCAUUCCAUGGAACUCCAACCUUGUUUAUCUCUUACUUGAAUGAUGAAUUGGCCAUCUACUUGUUUUUUACACCUCUGUUUUCCCCUUGCAAUUAAUUUUAUUUUUCUUUUCUAGAUUAAGCUUCUUAGAGCACACCUCCAAUCAGCCACAUUUCAGAGCUUUGUCAUUUGCUACCAAAUGAAGAACAAAUGCUUCCAGCUGAUGUUCAUUGUCUUGUGAUCUUCAUUUAUGGUGGAGGUUAAAAACUCAAAUAUCUACAGGCAUCAGAUACACAAGAAUUAUUUAAAGCAAGGUUUAAGGUGCUGGCCCUGUGCCCGAGUGGUUAAGUUCACGCACUCAGCUUCGGCAGCCCAGGGUUUCGCAGGCUCGGAUCCUGGGUGCAGACAUGGCACCACUCGCCAAGCCAUGCUGAGGCAGCAUCCCACAUGCCACAACUAGAAGGACCCACAACUAAAAAUGCACAACUAUGUACCCUGGGGCUUUGGGGAGAAAAGUGAAAAAUAAAAUCUUUAAAGCAAAGUUUAAGAAAAACUUUUGUCUUGAUAACAAAACCACCACAACAGCAACACUAAUAAUAAAAAGCCAGUCUAGUCAUACUAAUAAAUAGCAACUGACAUUUGCAGAGGCAAUAGGAAGUGCCAGGAACUGUGGCCAUCAACAGAGUUUGCGCCCUGUGCGGAGGUCCGCUUCUGCUCAUCUCCACUGAUCACUGGUAUGUGGGAAUGCAGGCCUAGACCUAUAGAUUUUUCAGGAGAGGCCAAAUAUUUAGGUUUUUAUGUGUAAUCUCCCAAUAUUUGAAUACUGGUAACUAAUUCAAAUAAAACUAACUCUUUCUCUCUCUCUUUUCAGUUAGAAAAGAAAACUAAAUAGUGACCAGGACAGACAAGUCACAAGGUGGUUACCUUGAGCUCAUGGUCUGCAAGUGUGCUCCCUCUGGAUUGCAGUAUGUUUCUCUCGCUCUGCUAUAUAGAUUUUAUGUUCCAUGCCCCCCCUUUCUCCCAUCAGGAUCUCUAGGUCUUGCCUUUCUGCCUUUCUUCUUAUAGUUCUUAUCCCCAGGAAAGCCUUCUUUACAUCCAAUCUGUUGAAAUCUUAUCAGUGCAGUCUACAUUAAGUUCUGUGUCCUCCAUAAAGCUCCUCCUGAUCUCAGUCAGGCAUCUUACUUUCUCACAAACUUUGAGUCAUCUCUUUUGUGGCCCAUUCCUUAUCUCUGCCUUGCAUAUUAGCUGUUUAUACUUACAUGCUCCAAAUUGAGUAUGCGAUGCACAAGGUAAGACCAUCUCUGGAACUCCACAGUCUUUGCAAAUAGCACCUAAAUGUAGCUGAAGCUCAAUAAAUCUGAUUUUGAGUUUGCCAAGAGAUGGGAGGAAAAGUCUCUGUAUUGGGAUAUUUUUAUUUCCAUUUAGAAUUGCAGCCCAUCUGCUUCUUAUCAAAAGACAGUAGGUCCAUCCAAUACUCUUCUCCCUCCAUAAUCCAGAUACCAUUUCUACCCUGUCUGUAAGAACUCACUUUUGUGGCACAGAGUGUGACAUGGAGUCUGCCUACUUUAAGGAGGAAAAACAUCACUGUACAAGAAGAUCAUCUGGUAUAUGGAAAGUUGAUCCUAGCCAGGAUGAUGCUCCUAUUGCUUUCUCAAUAAAAAGACAACAGAUUUGCUCAUCUUUGUUCUCUUUUAGAACUCUUUUAAUUCCUCUUUCAGUCAUUAUGUAGUUUCACUCAAUCUUCAUAGUCCGUGUUCUGAACCUGAACUUUCUCUGCUAUACCACACAGAGUUCUGAAGUACUACUGAUCAAAUAACAGGCCAUCAGGCAGCUGCCAUAUAGCAAAUAAAUGACCCCAGGGCACACUGCAAACUUAGUCAUGCAUAUUUAAGAGCACUCAGCCUGUGCACACUCUUAUUGAUGAAUGAUAAAUGCUUUGACAUACCUAUACCAUCAUAGCGUUAAAAAAUAAACCUGCCACAGUAGUUAGACCCUUGAGAAACUUUCAGAUGUAGAAAAGCCUUUAUAGAAAGUGUACUCCAUGAUAAUGCUGAUGCUUAGGAGUAUCCUAAAUCUUGUGCUACUGACUUACCAGGUUGGAGGUUUUAGUUACAGUUUAAGAAACUUCACUCAAGCCAGGAGAUACCCUAAACUAUAUUUUAGUGAGGAGAGUUGUAGUUCUGUUUAUAUCUAACAUAAUAGACAUCAAGGGAUUACAAAAAAUAUUCAGUGUUACAAUAAUCAUUGAAAGAUUCAAGGAAAUCUAAAAGAAAAAUGGCCAUUUCCUAACCGCCUAACACGUAAUCACUAAUUUGAUUUCUUGUUUCCUUUCAGCAUUUCUCCAAAUCUGCAAAUACUGUUUACCUAGUAUUAUAGAUUUUUUUUUUCCUUUUUCUCCCCAAAGCCCCCCAGUACAUAGUUGUAUGUUCUUAGUUGUGGGUCCUUCUAGUUGUGCAUGUGGGAUGCCGCCUCAGUGUGGUUUGAUGAGCAGUGCCAUGUCCACGUCCAGGGUUCGAACCAAUGAAACACUGGGCCGCCUGCAGCGGAGCACGCGAACUUAACCACUUAGCCAAGGGGCCGGCCCCGUGUUUACCUAGUAUUAAACGUACUUUAUGAAAACAUGCUUAACUGCUAUUUUGUUUUGUUAAAUAUUUCCUAACUUAAGAAAAAUGGUCCUCAUAUAUUCCAGCAGAUUCUUGCUUCUUUCAAUGGGAAGUGAUCUAUAGAUAUAAUAGGACCUAAACAUGUAUAUUCUCAGGCAUUUAGUUUUUCAAGGGAUCAAGAAAAAAUCAUAAAAUCAUAAAGCAACAAUGAUAUCACCAAUCAUAAAUAUAGGCUCUCACUUCAAUAGUUUAUUAUUUCCAAUGCUAGAAACACAAUCCUGAGAUGAGUAUGCAAAAUAGAGAUUCAUACGGUAGCUAAAGAAAUAUUGCAAGACAGAUGCUGGCCAGUAUUCAUCUUUAAACAGGCUUAAAUUGUAUUCAUGAAGAAUUUGACUACUCUUAAGAAGAAUUGGCCCAGAUGUCUAUCUGUCAGUCAUGAGUUACUUGUGGUCCAGGGGGUUUCCUGAGUGAAUAGUAGGAAUUCUCUGAGGUGGAGAGGCUGACAGGGCCAUCUUCCGAGCUUGUUAGUAUUCAUAUUUUGCACAGUAUUGAAGUUUUGUGCAUUCAGUUAAGUAGGUUUAUGGAUUAUAUUUGUUAAAAAAAAUUUAACCCUUACAAAAUGGACACGUGGCUUAUAAAGACUUCAGGAAAGAAACAGAGGGUUGAAGAUAAUAUAAGCCAAGCAAAUUUUGACAAACAUAAAAAUUCUUUUGCAUAAUUAGUGGGUGAUAAGGAGACAUAAGUAUCAUGAUUUAUGUUGAUAUAUUAUUAUUUUAUUUAUUUAUUUUUGAUGAAGAUUAGCCCUGAACUAACAUCUGCUGCCAAUCCUCCUCUUUUUGCUGAGGAAGACUGGCCCGAGCUAACAUCCGUGCCCAUCUUCCUCUACUUUAUAUGUGGGAUGCCUACCACAGCAUGGCUUGUCAAGCUGUGCCAUGUCAGCACCCGGGAUCCGAACCAGUGAACUCCGGGCCUCGAAUCGGAACAUGUGCACUUAACCGCUGUGCCACCGAGCUGGCCCCUUGAUAUAUUACUAAAGUAUUUUUCAUUCUCAAUAAUUCCCUGUUUUAAAGGCUACCCCUGCCCGUUGAACUUCAGGGUGACAUGGGGCAGAGCAGAAUGUCUGCUAUCGUGACCAGGAGCAGUGAGGCUGUGAGCAGCCAGCCUGGGGACCUGAAAGCCCCUGGGGAUGGGAUGUGGCAGCUUGUGCCAGGGACUUCAGAAAGUGACACUGGAGAGGCCAUGUGUUGAGGGGACUAAUGGAGCCAACAUGGUUGGAUAUUAGCUGGGGAUUCAAUGGAUGCUCAUCCCUGCUACCCCUCUCUCCUCCUCUGGUACUUUAUAACUCCCUACUCACAGCUCCAACGAAGAAAGAGCAGAGGGAAGAGUGAGAGGAACCAUGGAUCGACUGACAGAAACUUUAGCCACUUUGUGGAAUUGGGGGCUUAAAAAAGAUAUUACAGUCAUCUACAGAAAACUAAAGACUUUCUUUUUUUGCACAUCUGAGUUAGUAGCCUGAAAUGGUACGAGGUCCGUUAUACAGAGAGCAGUUUCAAUUCCCCUUUGUUUAUCUUCCUGUUUCUAGACUAGUGGUUCCCAAAUCUGUCGACAUAUUGGUAUCACCUGGGGAGUUUAAAAAACUACCAGUGCCUGCGUCCCAAACACAGAGAUUGUCAUUUAAGUUGAUCUGGAGUGUGGCCUGUGCUUUAUAAUUUUAAAAAGAUCUUAGGCGAUCCUCGUGUGCAGACAUUGGCUUACUCUUACACUUUGAUUUAGGAAGGCGUUCAUGGAUUCUUAAAGUUCAGAUUGCUGGAAGCGUGACAGCCCUCGGUGCCUCCCCUGUUACAGCACACACCAUUCUGCAAUCUCCUUCUCCAAUCACUUGGCUGCAUCCCCUACAGGACUGUGAGCUGCAUGAGGGCAGGGGCCUUGCCUUUUUGCUCACCAUUACUCUCCAGCAUCCGGCACAGUGCCGGGCAUGUAGAAGAUACAGAAUAAUUAUUUAUUGCAUGAGUGAAGGAAUGACAUGGGUCUUUACCUGCUUUCCUACUUGUUAUCCCCCACUCCUAGCUCCUCUUGAAUUAGAAAGCUCUCUGAGUGAGAACAGAUGAGUCUUGAAGCGUGGCUCCAGGAGUGACCAUUGAGGAAACGUGCACAUGUGCUCCUCAGCUGAACUCCUUGACAGCACUGUUGGGAGAUUAUGAUCCAAGGCCAAGUCUGUUGUCAUCAUCUUCUUAAAGUUCUGGGAAGAGAACAUUUCUGCCUUUCCAUUUCUGGAAUUAGUCAAGACCAUGCUAUGUAGAGUGAAUAAUUAGUUACAUGAUUAUGAAUGGUUUUGUUAGCUUGGCUCAAAUUUCUGGCUUUCUGUUUUUGUGUUCUAUAUAUUGGUCACCCAUGAUGUUUUAUUGACAUUUACUACAUCUCUAAAUUAUAUAUUCUUUGUUCAAUUACCAGGAAUUUGGUUGAUCACAAUAGCGAAUUUUAAUUUUAUACUUAAAAUUACUAAGUGCAAAGCAUAAUAUGCCUAAAGCUGUGCUUUUCUAUAGCAUUUAAAUCUAAAUGUAGGUAGUAAUAAUUAGAAGAUUCAUGAAUUUCAAAAUCUUUCUUCUAGAGUCUUUUUUAAAACCAUUUUGUGUGAUACAUUUUCUUUCUGAUUGUACCUACAAAUGGAAAUACACAUUUCAUUUUUAAAAUUCGACAGUGGACUUUAUUCUCCUCCAUCUGAUUAGUACCUCUCACUGGGAACCUGGAGCCCGUGGCGUGUGCAGCACCUUGUGAUCUGGGAAAUAAAGGUGAUUGGCAAAAAGAAAAAGAAAGUAAAUAGGCUUCUCUAGUUUUUUUGUUUUUUAAAUCUGUCUGCUAUUUCUGCUAUCUCAUUAAGCUCCCCAAACACUUGGUGAGUCUUUGAAGGCAUCAGCAAUGGUGUCCGUUGCCUACUCAGCAGCAAUCACCAUAGUAGAUUUUGUAAAAUGUGAAACACUCUUCUAUUUUGUGAAAUUUUAUCUUUUGACAUUUACUGUAAAAAAUAAGGCAAUGAUAUGUGGAGUAACUCUCAUAAGAUACCAAGUACAACACAAAAUACAACAAGGAAAGUCGUAAAAGCAAAUAAUGCACUCACCCACUAAUCUUUUAAAACGAGCUGCCGUCUCUUCUGGACCCCAGAUGCCUGGAAAUGGAUUAAUAAUAAUUCUUGGUUCAGGACACACUAUCAUCAUUUGAAUAAGCAUGGCCUUCCUUUGUUUGUUUGUUCUUUUGAGGAAGAUUAGCCCUGAGCUAACAUCUGCUGCCAAUCCUCUUCUUCUUUGCUGAAGACCACUGGCCCUGAGCUAACAUCCAUGCCCAUUUUCCUCCACCUUAUAUGUGGGACCCCUGCCACAGCAUGGCUUGACAAGCAGUGCAUAGGUCUGCACCUGGGAUCUGAACCGGCAAACCCCAGGCCGCCGAAGCGGAACGUGCGAACUUAACUGCUGCGCCACCAGGCGGGCCCCUUCUUUUUUUUUGUUUGUGGGUUGUCGCCACAACAUACUUCCAAAGAGUGAUGUAGGUCUCUGCCUGGAUACUGAACCCGGGCCACUGAAGUGGAGCGUGCUGAACUUAACCACUAGGCCACGGGGCCAGCUCCCCAAAUGUGUUUCUUUUGUAUGAAAUACUUAGUCCUGUCUUUUUUCCAUUUUUCUAUUUUUUUUCUUAUUGAUCUGUAUGACUUUUUAUAUAUUCUUGAUGCUAUCACCUUCAGUUGUGUGUUGCAUGUACUUUCUCCCAUUUGGUGACUGGUCUUGUCAUUUUCUUUAAAUGUCUUUUAAUUUUCAUAUGGUCAAAUGUAUCAAUAUCUUUAUGAAUUAAGCCACUUUAUAUACAAACAUAUACACACGUAAAAAGGUGGUAUUUGAUUAUAUAUAUUCAUAUAUAGCCAGCCCUGGUAGUCUAGUGGUUAGGGUUCAUUGCUCUUACUGCCAUGGCCCAGGUUCCUUUCCCAGUCAGGGAACCAUACUACCUUCUGUUGUCAUACUGUGGUGGCUGCAUGUUGCUGUGAUGCUGAAAGCUAUGCCACCAGUAUUUCAAAUACCAGCAGGGUCACCCAUGCUAGACGGGUUUUGGUGGAGCUUCCGGACUAAGACAGACUAGGGAGAAGGACCAGGACUCUCACUUUCGAAAACACUAGCCAUGAAACCCCUAUGAAUAACAACCAAGCAUUGUUGACAUAGCGCCGGAAGUUGAGAGGAUGGCGCAGAAAGACUGGGCAGCGUUCCACUCUGCCGUGCACAGGGUUGCUAGGAGUCGGAAUCUAUUCCAUAGCACUAACACCUAUAUAUAUGUGUGUGUAUAUGUGUCUAUAUAUUUCCAAAUAUUAUUUUCAUGAUUCCAAAAACAAGUUAUUUGUUGAAUGGGGGACCAAAAGUUUUAUACACAUUGAUUACAAGUUAUUUUCAGAAUUGAGAAUUGUUAGAAGAAAAAUUGCAUCUUAGUAUUGAAUAAAUAGUGUGCUCUCCAUUUGUUUAUUACAUGUUAUGUGCAAAACUCCAACUUAAAGAAUCAACUGAUACUUUACAAUUUAGCCUAGACCAAAAAAUUAUACAUUACACACAAUAAGAAUGUGUAUUCUUUCUAGAUAUGGUAUGUCCUGAUAUUUAUUUCAUAUAUAUGUAUAUUUAUAGGCAGAUAACUAAUGAUGACUCUAAAAUGUAAGAAACCACUACAUAAUACCUUCUGAGUCAUAAAAGAAUCAUGGUUAACUCUUACUGAGUAUUUGCUACAAACC